rnacentral:rRNA from 1 species
UGGGGAAUCUUGCGCAAUGGGGGAAACCCUGACGCAGCGACGCCGCGUGAGCGAUGAAGGCCCUCGGGUUGUAAAGCUCUGUGGGGAGGGGAGAAUAAGCCUGGGUUAAUACUUCCAGGUGAUGACGGUACCUCCUUAGCAAGCACCGGCUAACUCUGUGCCAGCAGCCGCGGUAAGACAGAGGGUGCAAACGUUGUUCGGAAUUACUGGGCGCAAAGCGCGUGUAGGCGGCUAUGCAAGUCGGGCGUGAAAGCCCACGGCUCAACCGUGGAAGUGCACUCGAAACUGCGUAGCUAGAGUCCCGGAGAGGAAGGUGGAAUACUUGGUGUAGAGGUGAAAUUCGUAGAUAUCAAGUGGAACACCGGUGGCGAAGGCGGCCUUCUGGACGGUGACUGACGCUGAGACGCGAAAGCGUGGGGAGCAA